AGAGUUUGAUCAUGGCUCAGGAUGAACGCUGGCGGCGUGCUUUAUACAUGCAAGUCGAACGAGGUCCAUGAGAGCUUGCUCUCAGAAGACCUAGUGGCGAACGGGUGCGUAACACGUGAGAAACCUGCCCCCGACACUGGGAUAACAGUUGGAAACGACUGCUAAUACCGGAUAUCACCGGUGGACCGCAUGGUCCGCCGAUGAAAGGCUCCGGCGGUUGGGGAGGGUCUCGCGGCCUAUCAGCUUGUUGGCGAGGUAACGGCUCACCAAGGCAUCGACGGGUAGCUGGUCUGAGAGGAUGAUCAGCCACACUGGGACUGAGACACGGCCCAGACUCCUACGGGAGGCAGCAGUAAGGAAUCUUGCACAAUGGGCGAAAGCCUGAUGCAGCAACGCCGCGUGCGGGAAGAAGGCCCUAGGGUUGUAAACCGCUUUCAGCAGGGAAGAAAAUGACGGUACCUGCAGAAGAAGGUGCGGCCAACUACGUGCCAGCAGCCGCGGUGACACGUAGGCACCAAGCGUUAUCCGGAUUUAUUGGGCGUAAAGAGCUCGUAGGCGGUUCGGUAAGUCGGGUGUGAAAACUCUGGGCUCAACCCAGAGAGGCCACUCGAUACUGCUGUGACUAGAGUGCGGUAGGGGAGCGGGGAAUUCAUGGUGUAGCGGUGAAAUGCGCAGAUAUCAUGAGGAACACCAGUGGCGAAGGCGCCGCUCUGGGCCGUAACUGACGCUGAGGAGCGAAAGCAUGGGUAGCAAACAGGAUUAGAUACCCUGGUAGUCCACGCCGUAAACUAUGAGUGCUAGUCGUCGGGCGGCAUGCCGUUCGGUGACGCAGCUAACGCAUUAAGCACUCCGCCUGGGGAGUACGGCCGCAAGGUUAAAACUCAAAGGAAUUGACGG
rnacentral:rRNA from 1 species